UUGUACCUCUUACAUCUAGCUUGGAUAUUGCGAAGAAUAUAAUUUAGGAGGAAAACAUAAUGUUAACUAAAGAAGAAAAAGCUAAGAUCAUGGCUGAAUAUGGUCGCGUAGAA
rfam:Catenibacterium sp. CAG:290 genomic scaffold, scf89